CCCUGUGAUUCUGUGGUGGUGGCACCACUCAGCCUCAGUAGAUGUGGAGAUAUGGCACUGAGAGGGACACAGCGAGGAUGGGUUGAUGGUUGGACUAGGUGAUCUUAGAUGUCUUUUCCAACCUUAAUGAUUCUGUGCAACUGCAGCCAUAUCCCCGUGUGGUUUCUGUUCUCCCCCGUGUUCUCCCUGCCAUUCCUGCUUGAAUCUAAUGAAUUAGAUUCUUUUCUUAUUCUGUCUUCUGCUCCUCCGCCGUCAUUAUUUGGCAGAGCUGUAGGCACAGACGUGUUGUAAUGCGGCAGCGAAGCCAGCUCGGGCUCCUUUUGAGCAGAACGAGCACUGCUUGCCAGCCGGCCUGCCGCUCCGCAGAGUGCUGGAGCUCCGUGCUCUGCCCGCUCCCAGCUCCGGCACCGUAACCGGCACUGCCGUGGCCCUCCACCCCAGCCUCAAACGCGACGCUCUCGAACGCGGCUCGACAGGGCGGGGGGCAGCCCGACAGGGCCGCUCUGCCCGCACCCACACGCCGCCUCUCCGAGCCCGGGGUGGGAGCGGCGGUGCGGGGCUGCGGCUCGGCUCCUCUGCGCGGUGCCGCCCCGGGGCAGGGAGGCAGGGCAGGCUGCGGGGGCCGGGCUGCCGGGGCCGGGCUGCCCCACCGCGUCCUGCGGCACUCGGCACCGCCGCCUGCAGCCGGGGAGCCUUUCUCAGAGGCGCUGCUGCCGAGAAACACGAGCGCGUAAGUAACUGAACGGGACAUGAAGAAUUGACAUUUAAAUGGCCAGCAUGUUGCAAAAGGUCAACACUAUCGGUCCGGAAGCAUUUCUCAGGUGUGAUGGAGAUGACUACAUUCCCUGUGGGAUCUAUUCCUGUGUCCUGACAACAUGU
rnacentral:lncRNA from 1 species